GACGAACGCUGGCGGCGUGCUUAACACAUGCAAGUCGAACGGAAAGGCCCUGCUUUUGUGGGGUGCUCGAGUGGCGAACGGGUGAGUAACACGUGAGUAACCUGCCCUUGACUUUGGGAUGACUUCAGGAAACUGGGGCUAAUACCGGAUAGGAGCUCCUGCUGCAUGGUGGGGGUUGGAAAGUUUCGGCGGUUGAGGAUGGACUCGCGGCUUAUCAGCUUGUUGGUGGGGUAGUGGCUUACCAAGGCUUUGACGGGUAGCCGGCCUGAGAGGGUGACCGGCCACAUUGGGACUGGGGUACGGCCCAGACUCCUACGGGAGGCAGCAGUGGGGAAUAUUGCACAAUGGGCGGAAGCCUGAUGCAGCAACGCCGCGUGCGGGAUGACGGCCUUCGGGUUGUAAACCGCUUUCGCCUGUGACGAAGCGUGAGUGACGGUAAUGGGUAAAGAAGCACCGGCUAACUACGUG
rnacentral:rRNA from 1 species